GUGACAUUGUUCAACGGCCGCGGUAUCCUAACCGUGCGAAGGUAGCGUAAUCACUUGUCCUUUAAAUAAGGACUAGUAUGAACGGCUUCACGAAGGCUAUACUGUCUCCUUAAUCUAAUCAAUUAAACUAAUCUCCCCGUGAAGAAGCGGGGAUUCAUCUAUAAGACGAGAAGACCCUAUGGAGCUUUAAACAUCUAAGACACUUGAUUUUUACCUACUAAACUUCAUGCAACCUAUCCUUUUGUCUUAAGUUUUAGGUUGGGGUGACCACGGAGAAAAAUUAAACCUCCACGUAGAAAGAAAAUUCUUUUCUAAGCAAAAAGCCACAUCUUAACGCAUCAAUAUAUUGACUUAACUUGACCCA
rnacentral:rRNA from 1 species